GGUUAAUUACCUUUACCAAUAGAGGUUCACCCGUAGAAAAAGCACGGGAUAAAUCCGUCCCCAGCAGCCGCUGAUAAUAUGGAGGGCGCAAGCUGUUCAUGGGAAUUUAGUGGGUGUAAAGCGCACGCAGGCUGUCUGUCAUGUCAUAUGAGAAAUCCCCGGGUCUCAACCUGAGAAUCGCAUUAGAAACUGACAGGCUAGAGUAGAGUAGAGGGGUGUAGAUUUCCAGGUGUAGCGGUGAAGUGUGUAGAGAUGUAGAGGCAUACCGGUGGAGAAGGAGGCCCCGUUGACAAAGAGACACGGUCGCGUGAGAAAGCGUGGAGAGCACACGGGUUUAUAUCCCGUGGUUGUACACGCUGUAAAAGAUGUGGAAUUGGAGGUUGUGCCUCUGCCCCGUGGCUUCGGGAGUUAACCCGUUAAGUCUACCCCCUGGGGAGUACGUCGGCAGGGUUAAAAUUCAAAGGAAUGGACGGGGGCCCGCCCAAGCGGUGGGGCAUGUGGUUUAAUUGGAGGCAACGGGAAGACCCUUACAUAUUCUUGACAUCCAGAGAACAUUGCAGAGAUGUUUUUUUGCCUUCGGGAACUAUGAGACCGGUGGUGCCAGGGUGUUGUUAGGUUGUGUUGUGAAAAGGUGGGUUAAGUUCCGCAAACAGGGCAACCCUUAUCUUUUGUUGCCCGUCGUUUGGCCGGGAACUCAAAGGAGACUGCCAGUGAUAAACCGGAGGAAGGUGGGGAUGACGUCAAGUCAUCAUGCCCCUUAUGACUAGGGCUACACACGUGCUACAAUGGAGCAUACAAAGGGAAGCGACCUCGCGAGAGCAAGCGGACCUCAUAAAGUGCGUCUUAGUCCGGAUUGGAGUCUGCAACUCGACUACAUGAAGUCGGAAUCGCUAGUAAUCGUGGAUCAGAAUGCCACGGUGAAUACGUUCCCGGGCCUUGUACACACCGCCCGUCACACCCAUGAGGAGUGGGUAGCAAAAGAAGUAGGUAGCGUAACCUUCGGGAGGCCGC
rnacentral:rRNA from 1 species